ACGGAAGGCAGCAGUGGGGAAUAUUGGACAAUGGGGGAAACCCUGAUCCAGCGACGCCGCGUGAGUGAAGAAGUAUUUCGGUACGUAAAGCUCUAUCAGCAGGGAAGAAAAUGACGGUACCUGACUAAGAAGCCCCGGCUAACUACGUGCCAGCAGCCGCGGUAAUACGUAGGGGGCAAGCGUUAUCCGGAUUUACUGGGUGUAAAGGGAGCGUAGACGGUAUGGCAAGUCUGAAGUGAAAGCCCGCGGCUUAACUGCGGGACUGCUUUGGAAACUGUCAGACUAGAGUGUCGGAGAGGUGAGUGGAAUUCCCAGUGUAGCGGUGAAAUGCGUAGAUAUUGGGAGGAACACCGGGGGCGAAGGCGGCUCACUGGACGAUAACUGACGUUGAGGCUCGAAAGCGUGGGGAGCAAACAGGAUUAGAUACCCUGGUA
rnacentral:rRNA from 1 species